GGUAAAUGUUUUUCGUCUUUGUUUUGUAUUUUUUUACAUUUGUAGCUACGAAAUUGGCGUCACAAAUUUUAACGAAAUUUGCGAUGUAUUUUUCACUGUUUAGUGCUUGAAAUAUUUGCUAAAAUUGACUGGAAAUACUUAGAGUUUUCAUCGUAGAAUGGCGUGGUUAUAUUUAUUUGCUCUUUGACUAAAAUGUUUAGCUGUAUUAUUGCUAAAC